rnacentral:rRNA from 1 species
AACGAACGCUGGCGGCAGGCCUAACACAUGCAAGUCGAGCGAGGACUUCGGUUCUAGCGGCGGACGGGUGAGUAACGCGUGGGAAUGUGCCCUUCUCUACGGAAUAGCCCUGGGAAACUGGGAGUAAUACCGUAUACGCCCUAUUGGGGAAAGAUUUAUCGGAGAAGGAUCAGCCCGCGUUGGAUUAGGUAGUUGGUGGGGUAAUGGCCUACCAAGCCGACGAUCCAUAGCUGGUUUGAGAGGAUGAUCAGCCACACUGGGACUGAGACACGGCCCAGACUCCUACGGGAGGCAGCAGUGGGGAAUCUUAGACAAUGGGGGCAACCCUGAUCGAGCCAUGCCGCGUGAGUGAUGAAGGCCUUAGGGUUGUAAAGCUCUUUCAGCUGGGAAGAUAAUGACGGUACCAGAAGAAGAAGCCCCGGCUAACUCCGUG